rnacentral:lncRNA from 1 species
UGCGCCUCCCUCCCUCCUGGCCUUCCUUCCCUUCCCCGACUUUGCAGAUUUCUCUUCCCCCAGGCCUCCCUCCUCCACCUCUCCGCCCCCUCCGGGCUUGGCUCUCCCAGGAGGCUACGACUGGAGCCACUGGUCCCGCAGGAUCCCCGCGUCCUCGGUCGCCGCGUCCACGUCCCUCUCGCGUCCCCGCCCGGCGCCACGCCGCCUCCUCUGGGUUCGGCCUCCGCGCGGUGCAGCGCAGUCUCAGGCCGCGGGACAAGCCCGACUUAAAUCUCUGCAAUGGCUAACGAAGCUUAUCCUUGUCCGUGUGACAUUGGCCACAGACUUGAGUAUGGAGGGCUAGGCCGUGAAGUUCAAGUCGAGCACAUCAAGGCUUAUGUCACCAAAUCCCCCGUUGAUGCAGGCAAAGCUGUGAUUGUCAUUCAAGAUAUAUUUGGCUGGCAGUUGCCCAAUACCAGAUAUAUAGCUGACAUGAUCUCAGGAAAUGGAUACACAACCAUUGUUCCAGACUUCUUUGUAGGGCAAGAGCCUUGGGACCCCUCUGGCGACUGGUCUAUCUUCCCUGAGUGGCUGAAAACAAGAAAUGCCCAGAAGAUCGAUAGAGAUCAGUGCUAUCUUGAAGUAUCUGAAACAACAGUGUCAUGCCCAGAAAAUUGGCAUCGUGGGAUUCUGCUGGGGUGGAACUGCUGUCCAUCAUUUGAUGAUGAAAUACUCAGAAUUCAGGGCAGGGGUGUCCGUCUAUGGUAAAUCUGCCUUGUGCAUUUUUACUCCAUGCAGAAGGGAGGGGUGGAAGAGUGACAACAAUCACAAGCCUCCCCAUCCAGUGUAACACAACCCCCAAUAAUGUGAAGACUGCCCAUCUUAUGGAAAUGGGUUUUAAGAAUCUGAAAAUAGAGGUGGAGGUUUGUCAUGCAGUUAACCAGAGGAUGUCACCGGGAGUCAAGAGGUCUGGGUCCCAGUGGUGUGACUUUGGGAAAGCCACCUAAUCUAAAUUCUCCAUUUCUUCACCUAGGAUGAAGGGGAUAGCUUUUUUUGUUUUUUUAAUGUAAUGAUGAUCAAUAUCACACAAGAUUUUUAUGAGCAACAUCUAUGAAAAUAUUUUUCUGGUGGUGGCUAAUGCCUGUAAUCCCAACACUUUGGGAGGCUUAGGCAGGCAGAUCACUUGAGCUCAGGAGUUCGAGACCAGCCUGGACAACAUGGCAAAACCCUGUCUCUACAAAAAAUACAAAAAUUAGCUGGGCGUGGUCACGUGCACCUGUAGUCCUAGCUACUCCGGAGGCUGAGGUGGGAAAAUCGCUUGAGCCCAAGAAGGUCAAGGCUGCAGUGAGCCAUGAUCAUGCCGCUGCACUCCAGCCUGGGUGACAGAGCAAGACCCUGUCUCAAAAAAAAAAAAAAAGAAAAAGAAAGAGA